CCAAAUCGUUACACACAACCCUAAACUCGAUGAUUCGUUUUGUUUCUCCGUCAAAACUCGAGGAUAUUUCCUCUGAUUCUCCCGUUCACCUGAGAAGAAAAUCAACAAAGCAGCGGAUGUUGCUGCUGCUGAUUCAGAUCGAAACAUAAGCAGAGAUUGAGAGAUUAAAGAGAGAGAUUAAGAGUGAAUCAGAAAAACAUCUGACUUCCAUUUACCAAUAACAACAGCGAAUCCUAGAAAUUGAUUCUUCUCUGUUCAUGAAUUACAUCUCCAAUUACUUCUCAAACCCUAACUACAAUCUCGAAUUCAAAUUAAACCAAUUUCUUACAACCACAUGAACUCUUAGAUUCAUUCUUAAUCUUCUCUAAUUCCACUCAAUAAUCCAUGGUAGUGACAUCUUCUUCAUAAACUUUCUUAUCUUUGCUCAAAUCCAUCUAAACCCCAUAUACGAUUCAUCAGUAAAUACUAUGAGAUCUCAAGAAGCUCUAUCAGAAACCAAAUUUGGUGCCUUGACGCAACGUAAAAUCAGAAAGACGAUGCUGAGGAAGACAAGAAGAAGGAAACUGCUGGGUUAAAAAAGGAGGUGGUUUCACUUCUGCUCAAAGGUCAAGGAUGGAUGCAAGAUGAUACUUAUGAUACCCAUAACGGGUUCAAUCUGAAAACAGGUUUUACGUGCUCACUGUUUUAUGACCAUCCAAUUUUGAGGCAUCCUUGAGAUCGUAUUGUUGUUUUAGCCAUUUAGUAUAAAUCUAAUCAAUUUCUCAAGCUUUUUAUGUAUAGCUGAAGUACUUAAUUAUUGAUGACUGAUCUCUCCUGUCAAUGUAAUUCAUAUAAACCCUAUACUAUGUUAGCCAAUUGACAAUUAGUCGUUAUAAAAGCCGAUAUUUUGUU